CCUCACACAGUGAACAGCUCGCACUUGCACGCUCGCUCUCUCCCCCCCCCCACUCGCACAUAGCGUAACCGCUUCGUGUGCUUCGCUGGUAACGCUUGUGUUUGUUGUGCGUAGAUACCCCACUCCUCAACGACACAUACACACGCACGCACACACACACAUAUAUAUAUAUAUGCCCACACGCACAUAUACGGAUCAAGCUUACGUGCUGCGGCUGCUGCUCUUGCUUUGCUUUGGCGUUCUUCAUUCCUAGUCUUGCCGCUUAAAGUCGUCGUGCACUCGUUCGUGGGUGUACGCGUUUCACGUGUGCUUGAUUGAUCCCUCCCCCGUUUUUUUCUUUGUUUUUAUUUUGCUGCUCCCCCUCCUCCGUCCCCUCGUUGUGGCUUUGCUGCUUUCCUUCGAGUCCUUUGCUGGCGCCGAUCACCCGCUCCAUCUCCACUCUCCCGCUGGCUACGAGGACGUCCUUCUCUCUUGUUUCACCGCUUUGCUCCCUCUUGCCUUGCCCCCCCCCUCCCCCCUCUCUCUCUCUCCACAGCACCGAACACCAUACACAUACACGUAGGCACGUAUGUCCUUGGCGACGACGGAAAGGACGCCUGCGACGGUGGGGAAGCUGUCUCCGUCUUCAGGGAUAUUCAGCAUUCGUGAUAACAUCAGCCCCGUGACGGCGGAGGAGGCGCCGAAGAGCCGUGACAUCCUUCUCAACGAUGCGUCCUUAUCGGAGCUGUCGCGGCAGACCGUGCUGCAGUCCGAGCCGGUGGUGCUUCGUUUGUGCCACGUGGGCAAGAGCUACCCUAUCGUCGGCUCUGAUGAGCGUGUUGUGGCGCUCAAGGAUAUUACGCUGGCUGAGCCAGAGCACUCGAGCGCGGCAGCGACGACACAGGAAGCCUCCAACACGAACUGCCUUCAACGCGGCAACCUACCUCCGCCGUUUGCGCCCGUGCGACGCGGCGAGUUUGUCAUGAUCCGUGGACCCAGCGGUGGUGGCAAGACAACGCUGCUAAACAUCAUUGGCAGCAUCGACUCCUGCACCGAGGGUACAAUCGAGCUAAACGGGAGGAUCAUCGACAAGGACACCAAGGAGAGCGUUUUGGCAGACAUCCGCCUGAAAAAUCUCGGCUUCGUGUUCCAGACGUUUAACUUGAUCGCUACCAUGACCGCCGCUGAGAACGUGGAGCUGCCUAUGACGCUACUGGGCAAGAUGUCAGCGAAGGCAAUGCGGCUGCGGUCUCGCCAGCUGCUCACGCUAGUCGGACUGCGUAACCGCAUCAACCACCUCCCCUCCGAGCUCAGUGGUGGCGAGCAGCAGCGUGUGACAAUUGCGCGAAGCUUGGCGAACAAUCCGUCUAUCCUCCUGCUUGACGAGCCGACAGGCGACCUGGACACGGCGAACACGAUCGAAGUGAUGGAUCUCCUCAUGCGCAUCAACCGCCGCACCAAGACGACGUGCAUCAUGGUCACACAUAAUCCUGACAUCGAGUGCUACGCCGACCGCAUCCUUUACGUGAGCGACGGCCGCUUUGCGAGGGAGGUUUUCAAUACGCUGCCUACGUGCCUCAACCUGGAGAACUACACCGAGUACCUGGCCGCCAAAGAGAGGGCGAUCACCGGCUUCGCCGAGGUCGGGGCUGUCGAGGAUGACAGCGAGCCAAGGGCCACUGCGGCGAUGGCAGGAGACAUCGACAACAAGGGUGGUGAGAUCCAAAAGCCGAACUCCAGCCGUGUGCUAGAGUCUAUUACCGAGGGGCAGUCAGCGUGCUCCAUUGUGCCGCCUGCCGCGUCGCGCUCCGCAGUUGUGCACCCUCUCUACCCUCCGGCCGCUGCCACGGCACCGAGCCUCAGCGGCGUCACCCAGACUUUCCCACACACCACGCAUCACGGCAGCGUCUCCGUUCCCCCUGCGUUCGUUUCUUCAGCGCUGGUGCAGCGCGAGGAGAGGGAGGUCCCCAAUGGGCUGUAGCGUUCAAGCGCCACCAGCGCGUCUGGUCACGGCUGCGUAUGUGCUGGGAACGUAAGCGUGUGUUCGCGUGCACCACAGGCACGCCGCAUGAAGCCCUGUCGUCGACGGACGUGUGACAUCACUUUUUUCUUGUCGACUACCGGCAUCCCCAUGGACAGGGCCAUCUGGCUUGUGUGCCGCCGGCAUCUUUUUCUUUCUCCCUUCUGCUGUUUUCAUUUUCGUUUUCCUUUUCCAUUUGCAGGAUCUGCUUCUCCAGCUCUCAACUUAUAUUUUUCAUGUUUCUCUCUCUCUUGCUGCCGUUGCCAUCUGAGUUGCAGAGGUUCAUUCCGAUGAUAAUAGUGGCUCCUGCCGUGCUGCGCGCGCUUCUCCGGUGUCUGGGAUAGCUUGCUUCCGUUUUUUUUUUUCGGAACUUCUAUUUUCUCGAAGCCUACUUUGUGACAAGUGAUGAGACACCUAUAGAGGCGGUGGGAGGUGAGAGGCCUCGAUGCAUCCUCUGGCUUUGUGCUGCUCUCUCUCCUUGUUCUGCGUGUUCAUUCCCUCUCCAGCACCCACUCUCUCUGUGACCUGCACAUAUGCGCAGCUCAUCUCGUGCCCUCCCCCCCCCCAGGUGGCAUGCGGAAGGCGAAGACCACGCCGUUUUGUAGAGGUGAAUCCAGGGGUGCAUGCAUACGGUUGUGCGGCUGGGUAUGGAAACGGGGGCUGUAAGGGAGAGGCACGCUGCUAGGCAUGCCGAGCACAUAAUACCCAUGCAUCUGCGCCCUUGCACAUACGCCUCUCUUGAGUGCGCUAUCUUCUGCGGGGGUGACUCUUUCUAGCAUGUGCAACGCGAGUUACCCUGAUGACCGGAGGUCACCUCGGUGAGUGGUAUCUCAGGGUCCCGUACGCUUCCUCUGUCUGUGGGGAAGCUAAGCAAGCCCCCUCUCCUCCCACCCCUAUCCCUGCUAAUGCCGAAUGAAUUCUAGUGGUGACAGGGUCAAGCACCUACGACCUAUGGAGGUUCGAGAAAUGCAUCGCCACUGAUGCUGGCGGUCAUUCCCUGGACAGCGCUGCCUUGGAUCGACCUGCAACACUGAACACGUGUGCACUGCCCAUAUGCUGGUCACAGGGUCAGCGUGACUUGAACGCAUCCCACACCCGUGCCCUCACUGCCUGCCGGUGGGUGAGCCUGAGCGCCACAGCGAGGGGGAUGCAUCAGGUGGCCACCGGCAUCACGGGGGAGCGACCGUGAAGCGAGCUGCGAGGCGGGUGGUGGGUAAAGUUUUGAGGAAGCGACUGCGCUGGAAUGAAUGGCUCGGCGCAUUUCUCUAGCGCGUGUCUCACACUGCUUUGUACCACGCGAUGGGGCGUGCGGCAUGCCUGGGGGAGGGGGCUGGAGUGGAGAGUGGUAACUUAUGUUGUACAGCGGCGAGCAGACACGUUGAAGAAAAACGUGCUCCUUCCUCCUCUACAUGAGCGUGCUUUAUUCCUGUUUUGUUGCUCUCUUUGCGCAUCGUGCAAGUAGUGAACAUCAUCUCCCGCUCUCUGACCCUCACCCCCUCCCCCUGUUCACCGCCUCUUUUACCGCAUGUGGCGGCCGUUAGGUAAACAGUUGCGUGUGUGGUACCCACGUUUCACGCCACUCGUUUUCUUGCUCUGCCACUCUCUCUCCAGCUUCCCUGACGUUCUCUCUCUCUCUGGUUCUGACUGUCGGUCCGGGUGUUUAUUAGCCUUCGUCUUCUGUUGGGCUCUGCCUGCCUGUGAUGCUCGGGUGCACUUGUGCUGAGGAGUCUCUCUCGCUUGCCCCUUUCUCUUCCCCGAGCUGAGCAGCACACAGAUC
rnacentral:misc_RNA from 1 species